AGGAUUCCAGGGAAGUGGCUGAGGGUCAAUGUGGUCCUGGGCAGGAGGCAGGACAAGGGCCAUCCAAGUUGCUUCCAGUUCCCUCCUGUGCCUCUGUGACUCCAGGAAAUUCUCUCCCUUGUGUUUCAGAAAGAGAAAAAGAAACCGUGUUAUUUCCUAGAAUGUAAUGAAUGAGCUGGGAGAUGCUGGGGUAGGUGAGCACACCAGGUGCCAGGACCCAAGGGUGAGUGAGCUGGGGGUGCAGCAGGAUCUGGGGUGGGCGUCCAGUGGAGGGAGAGGGCUCACUGGGUUUCUUGCCACAAAAACCAGUACAGACUCGGCAGCCAGGGGCUGGUCCUGGGAGGGCCGGGGGCUUCCUGGUCUGCUCCCCUUCCUGCUGUUCCACUAUUGCCUGUGGGGUAUCUGCUGUGCUCAGGGAAGCCUGAGCCCCCUUCCAGUCACUUAGCUGAGGCAGGGCUCUGGGUAUGGCCCUCCUCACCUGGGGAAGUGGGGUUCACAGGCACUCAGAUACGUGGGGACGACGCUCUGCCAUCGUGAGGGGUCAGUCUGGCUGUGUGACCCAGCACCAGUGGGCAGCCCACAGGUGAUCUCUGUAGGAGCCUCCUCUGGCAGGUCACAAACAGGACGCCCCGCAGAGCCUUGGAACAUCGUGACUGAAGAAGGGCUCACAUCAUGUUUACUCCCCAGCCUCCCCAUCACCUGCAUCUGCAAGGGCUCCUUGGACCCUGGUCAGAAGUUUAUUUGGUGAAUGAUCCUGCAGACAUCACACUGGCUCAAAGGGCAUCAGAACCCCAGCUGAGAGGAGCCUCAGCAUCAGAUGAUGAGGACCUGGCACGGGAGCCUUCAUCUGAGGAUGUCCCAGGCGUUCACAUGGUGGACAAAGCCAGACAGACGAACAGUACAUAUUCUGGGAUCACCCCUAUGCUGAGGAAAAAUUCUAGUGUUGACACAGGUGACACUUUCUUGCCUCAUUUUUCUGGAGAACCACUCUGGUUUGAACUUCCUGCCAGAAAUGUGAUUCAAGCACUUUUGUCUUAAAAAGUGAAGAACCCGGUCAAGAAAUGUGACCAUUGACUCUAGUGCCUGGAAGGCACAGUGUCAUUUGGAGAGAAGAGUGUGCUGGGCAUCAGGAUUGGGAAGUAUGGAGGAAUGAGUCAAUGUGGAGUGAUUGUGAAUAUCUCUGCGAGUUUGUGUGCUUUUCCCCAGAAAAUAUGUUCCCGUGUGCAAAGCACAACACAAAGAUUGAUACUCUGAAACCAAAAUUUCAUCACCACUGCACUUUCCAAAAAUCAACCCAUUCAUUCCUCACCACAGCUGUAGUGGAAGGUUAAAUUUAAUAUCCCCAGUCAUCACAUGGAGAUGAGGUAGAGAUAAAUUUUCAGGCAUUUGGUCUCCUAAAUGGAAAUGGCAUAGAUGAACUCGGGAAUGGGUGGAAGGUUGAUGCUGUGGGCUACUAGUGUGAAGUUAUCACAUGGCCCUGGUGUAACUUGUCACCCUGUCAGAGAGUCCUUAGCAUCUGUGUGUGUAUGUGGAAGUGUGUUGGCCUAUAAAGAUCUCAAGCACUGUGUAUCACAAUAGAAUGGUCUCAAUUCUAAUGGUGCGGUCGUUAGUAUGAAACAUACAGAGAGAGUUGCCAGGCAUUUGGUCUUAAGUGAUGGGGUAUUCCUCACCUCCUGGUCAAAAGCAAGGAACAUUCAGGGACAUUCUAUUGUAUUUAAUAAGAUCGUCACCACAAACAUUAGAAGUGUUCCAAUUCAGUAUCACACAUACCCAAGACACAGGACCUAACAAAAUUUCAAGGAGUCUGUUGGCUGUUAUUCCGGUGCCCAUUUCCUCUGCUGGAAUCUUCCGCACAACUGGGUUAGAAAGGGUCAGCACCCCCACCUGCUGCCCCCCAGGAAGGGCUGUCUCAGUCCUGGGGCCAGUGUGAGCGUGAGCAGCAGCGGACCCCAUGACACACACACAUUGACAGGAAGAGCAGAAGGACAAACAUCACAUGCCAAGGAGGGGUCAUCUUUGAAUGGUAGGAUAAUUCAGUAUUUUCAUCUGGAUUUAGUCUUCUUUAAAACAAAAGGUUACUGAAUGCAUAGAAUAUUUUGGCUAGAAUUAAAUCUCUUCUUUGAAGAAAUGUUGCUUUUUAUCUCGUUCAAAAUGUUCUGGCCGGGCAUUUUGGGUGGCCAAAGCAUGCGAAUCACUUGAGGUCAGCAGUUCAAGACCAGCCUGACCAACAUGGAGAAACCCAGUCUCUACUAAAAAUACAAAAUUAGCUGGACAUGAUGGCUCAUGCCUGUAAUCCCAGCUACUCUGGAGGCUGAGGCAGGAGAAUCGCUUGAACCCGGGAGGCUGAUGUUGCAGUGAGCCGAGAUCACACCAUUACACUUCAGCCUGGGCAAGAAGAGAAAAAGUGUGUCUCAAAAAAAGAAAAAAACAAUGUUCUAGAAGUGAAGAAAAACACAGCAAACAGGCCCUGUGGAUCCUGCAAAGAAAAUGAUCUCAAGGGGAUCAAGAAGGGAGGGCAAAUGAGCUCAGGUCAGAUUAGGAAGGAGGAGCCCUAUAGGGAAACACUGUGUGGUGUACCCGGUUUCAGAUGGGUUAGUUCAUGUGCAAGAGGUUGCCUUAGCUAGAGGACCAAGGCCCUGUCUUCUGUGGCCUUCCUGAUGCCUGCCUUCACCACUUGCCUUCCCUCACCACCAUGGAGGAUGGACCGGCAGAGGCUGAGUCUGUGCUGUGAACACACCUUUCCACACACGCCAGCCCCGGGUCCACAACUCCAAGACCACCUGAGGGAUUCGGUCAGUGGAGCUCAUGUGCUUAUAGUGACUGUUUCCCAGGUGCCAAGGAACUUCUGGAGGAGGAUGUGCCAGGACAGACAUCCUUGGAGGAAGCCUCAGGGGUUCACAUGGUAAAGUCUUCUUUUUUCCUCUGAAAUUGAAAUUUUAUUUCUCUCUGUUUCAAUUGAAUUAAGAUGUAUACAUCUUACCAUGUACAUUAUAGGUGAUUUACAGAAUUUCUUGGUGGGCAAAUGUCAGAGUUCAUUAUCAACAAAAAAAAUGAUUUCAGAUGGCAUCCACAUGUGCAAACUGUAUGUCAGCAGGCAUUUUCCUCAAGAGAAAUGCCUCCUUCUUGAGAAGUAUUUGGAAUUGUCAAACAAAAACAUUGGAAACUCUUGCAAAAAAAUCUUGUGCCUUACAAUGAAUGUCUUCUAGAUAUUGGGGCCAUUGUCUCAACCACUAUUUUCCAUCGGUUUUUUUAGUGUCAAGUUAAGAAAAGACCUAUGCAUGCAAGACACAGCAUAGUCUGACCCUCAUAGUGUUUUCUUUUUCUCUAGAUGCAGGUGGACCCAGCCACACUGGCAAAAAGUACGUAUUCUGGGGUCAUCUCUUUGUCGAGGUUUGAAAUCUUAGUGUUGCGAAGGUGGCGCUGUUUGCCCUAGGGUGUGAGUGGCAGGACGAGCACUUGCCUUCCUAGGGGAUGGAGGGUGACUCAUGCAUUACGAGGUGGGGAAAGACAAAUGUGGCUGUGGUACAGCAGAGGCUCCAGGGUGUCCCCAUUGGACCCACUGUGGACAAAGGUUGGUUGGUUGCUUGUUUCUGAAGGCUUUUGCAAAAGAACAAGUGAACGCAUUUGGUGUCGGUCAAUAGGAAUGGAACCUGAACCAAGUACAGCUUGCGUUUUUUCUUGGAGUAUGCAUUUGGUGGAAACGUAUGUGUAUAUAUUGAAUUUAAUUGCUGUAUAGGUUUCAAUACUUAUCCCACAUUUUAAAACAAUCAGGCUGGUGUGAUUUUAAAAUGUCCCUCGCUAACCUCAGAAACUCUCUCUUCAUAACCCAAUUCUCCUAGUCAUGUUAAAUCUCUAGAAUACAGUUUCUGUGUGGUACUCAGGAGCUUCCUGGUGAGUGAUUAAAGGUAGAAAUCUGUGUUACCAGCAUUGAGGCCCUAAGAAUUCACAGGCAGCUGCCCACUGGGCUCUAUGAGGGAGAGAGCAGGCUACAGCCUUGGCCUGGGCCUGCAGAGGAACAUGAUUUGGAGGAGCAGAAGGAAGGCAUGAGGGCAGCAAAGCCAUGGGGGAUGCCAAGGUGCAACAUCAGGAGAGUCAGUUCCACAUCAUCACCUGGGCGUGAGCGGAACGUUCAAGCCUCAU
ensembl:lincRNA